UGAAUGAAAAUGAAAGCAAAGCAAAUAAUUAAGGAGACUGAUUUUUUUCCCCAAUUGUUCAAGUUUUCAACCUCCUUUUCAGAUCCCUGCUGAUCCUCCUUACGCCUGAAGCCCAGACAGCCUUAGAAGAAAUAGGCUUAAAACCCGUUGGGAGGUUUAACCUGAAAGCGUGUCAGAGUCGCCCACCUGGGUGGGGCACAGGCUGAUUUCCGUGCGCCCCUAUUUGGACACGUGUGGACCACUUCUGGAAGGCUCAGGCCUCUGCCACAGGGUUUACCAACGGACUCCACAUGGAGUGAAUUCCCUCGGGGUCUGACCAGCUGAGGACACAGCUGAACCAGGCCUGGGCUGCUGGCAGAGAUUUAGUUCCUCGUGGACAAUAUCCAGCACAGAACUUAGAGGCAGAGACUCCUCAGACCAAUUAGCCAAAUCAGCCAAUUCCUCUCAGAAAAACCCUGACUUCAUUUUUGAACUCGAAUAAGUUUCCUUGCAUCCCUGUGACAACUGUCUCACUUCUGAAUCCCGAUUCUUGCAGAGAAUCAUAAGACCUUCAUCUGACCUUGUCACCUGGGUGAAAAGAGUGUGCGCUUGGAGGACAGACCCUCCCGAGGUGAAGCUGCCCUGACGCCUGCAGGCUGCAGGCUCCUGUCCCACACAGAUUCCCUGCCCUGAGCUUCUGAAGACGGGACCGGCCUCAGCCCAUAAAACGCUGUCUGUUCUAUGAUCAAAUAGACCAAAACCUCCAGUUAUAAAGGUAAGCAGGGAAGACGCGCUAAGAGUGCAUCCAUGUUGAAAUGAGUCCCCAGCAGCGAUCAGAGCUUCCCAGCAUUGUGCUGUUGAUAUUGAGUCACGUGGGCGAGAAAAAAAAAUGUUCCUACCAUUUAUUGAAACUGUGUGUACUUACUGAGCUCCUGCCAGCCACUCUAGCUAGGUAUCAUAGAAAGCCCAGAGACCCCCUAGAGGACUGUGAGCAGCAAAUAUUUUGAGGCAAAAUGUUGAACUAAAACAAGGGGUGCGCAGACCAUCAAGAUGGGAAACUGAACCCCUGUGGCUCAGUUUCUUUCCUGUCCUAAAACUGACAGGAAAGGUGUACUAUCACCAACUACGAAAAUUCCUAACAGGACUGCAAAUUAAAGAGAUGACUUCGGUUAACAAGAAAUUAUUAGGAAUUUCUAAAAGACAUUUGAUAGAGAGAAGCAAAGUAAAGUGAGAGCCAGACCCCCCAACAUUCCGAGGAGUGGUCUCCAACCAAGUAAAGAUGGUACCGGCAGUAGAAGUGGCAGCCAGCACAAGGAGUGGGUCCUGAGCCCCCAUCUGGCGACUGCAGAUUUUAUAUCCA